GAUGAAGAACGUAGCGAAAUGCGAUAAGUAAUGUGAAUUGCAGAAUUCAGGGAAUCAUCGAAUCUUUGAACGCACAUUGCGCCCGCUAGUAUUCUGGCGGGCAUGCCUGUCCGAGCGUCAUUUCAACCCUCAAGCCCCCGGGCUUGGUGUUGGGGAUCGGCGAGCCUCCGCGCCCGCCGUCCCCUAAAUCUAGUGGCGGUCUCGCUGUAGCUUCCUCUGCGUAGUAGCACACCUCGCACUGGGAAACAGCGCGGCCACGCCGUUAAACCCCCAACUUCUGAACGUUUGACCUCGGAUCAGGUAGGAAUACCCGCUGAACUUAAGCAUAUCAAUAAGCGGAGGA
rnacentral:misc_RNA from 1 species